rnacentral:lncRNA from 1 species
UACGGAUUUGUGGAGUGAUGGUGUUUCAAUUAUUAAUUUUUGUCAUUACAUUGCGUUAUCACGCACGAAGUUAGUCGGAAAUAAUCAGUUACAUAUGUCGAGAUACACGAGAUUCACUCCGGUCGCUGGAACGGAACGGAAAGUUCCUCAGGACUGACGUCAUAGGGUUGAUCGUGUGUGACGUAUGCGCUUGCGUUGAUCGAACUGAGGCCGCGGGGCGGUCCCGAAUAAAGGAGGUCAAGGUUGUAACUCGCUUGUUUUAAGCAGCUGAUGGCGGUCGUAUAUAUAUAUGCGCCGCUACUGAAACCAAAACUCUCGUUUUUUAAAAUUUGAACACUUAAUUCGAUGUUCUAAAUAUAAUCGUUUCGCGAUUAUCCGUGUUAUCGACAAAAAUGCUUCGAGUUUAUACAUGCGUGCGGUAAUUAAAGCAUAUGACAGUUAUAAAAGUUAUCCAAAGGUUAGGAUGACUUCGGAGAAAUAAAAAAGAAGAAGAAAAACUUUUUUGGCAACUGAACUAGUUGAUAUUUUCGUUUUUAUCGAUUAUAAUUACUAGAAAGAAGUAACGAAUUUUUAAUUUUUUUUUUCUAGAACAGUUUCAGUGGUUGAUGAUGAUAACGAUACCGAGAUAAUUGUUUUUCUCUGGCACAUAUUGCUGCGAUCAUUAAGCAAGAUUAAAGAGGAUAUAUUUUUUUUAAUUAGUUAUAAUCGAUCGAAUUAUGAUGUUUACGGUAUCAAAACUAAAAGACAAAACAGUACUCAUCGGCUUAUAUACCGAAGUGUUUUAUUUUGGAAAAUGUAAAUUGGCGAAAGUCAUUCAAGGCCGUUUAAGUAGGCGUAUUUUGUUACACGCACAAAAAAUAGUGAUGGGAGCAUUUAUUACAUUAUACCGGAACUCAUUUAUAUUUUCCUCAUGGCUGUCUGAUACAUUUCUAAUUCAUUUUCAGUUAAUAACAUAAAAACUUUUUUUAUCUGACUUGUUUCAGUCGAUAUAGCUUUUUAUCUGGAACGUAAUCG